rnacentral:lncRNA from 1 species
UCGCUAAUGGAGCCCGAGUCUAGUGUGUUUGUCGGUUAACUGUUAUUUGGCCUAUUUUACAGUUUUAAAAUAGGCCAAAUUACUGUUUUGCUUGUUUGUGUGUGAAUUGAUGAUGCUUACUGAGGAAAAGGGGAAUGAAAGGUUAUGUAAAUUGAUAAUUGUAUAAUGUGAUCAGCCUGACUAGAUAUCUUGGGAGAUGGUGGACGGACCGGGUCCGUAGGGAACCCGGGAUUGUGGUCUCUCAUACUGGACGAGGUAUGGAGACCUUAUGUGUUUUGGCGCCCAUACCAGACGGGGUAUGGGGACGGCUCGUUUCACCCUCAUACCAGACGGGGUAUUGAGGUUUA